AGCGAACGCUGGCGGCAGGCUUAACACAUGCAAGUCGAGCGGGCGUAGCAAUACGUCAGCGGCAGACGGGUGAGUAACGCGUGGGAACAUACCUUUUGGUUCGGAACAACACAGGGAAACUUGUGCUAAUACCGGAUAAGCCCUUACUGGGAAAGAUUUAUCGCCGAAAGAUUGGCCCGCGUCUGAUUAGCUAGUUGGUGAGGUAACGGCUCACCAAGGCGACGAUCAGUAGCNGGUCUGAGAGGAUGAUCAGCCACAUUGGGACUGAGACACGGCCCAAACUCCUACGGGAGGCAGCAGUGGGGAAUAUUGGACAAUGGGCGCAAGCCUGAUCCAGCCAUGCCGCGUGAGUGAUGAAGGCCCUAGGGUUGUAAAGCUCUUUUGUGCGGGAAGAUAAUGACGGUACCGC
rnacentral:rRNA from 1 species